rnacentral:rRNA from 1 species
GACGAACGCUGGCGGCGUGCUUAACACAUGCAAGUCGAACGGAAAGGCCCUGCUUUUGUGGGGUGCUCGAGUGGCGAACGGGUGAGUAACACGUGAGUAACCUGCCCUUGACUUUGGGAUAACUUCAGGAAACUGGGGCUAAUACCGGAUAGGAGCUCCUGCUGCAUGGUGGGGGUUGGAAAGUUUCGGCGGUUGGGGAUGGACUCGCGGCUUAUCAGCUUGUUGGUGGGGUAGUGGCUUACCAAGGCUUUGACGGGUAGCCGGCCUGAGAGGGUGACCGGCCACAUUGGGACUGAGAUACGGCCCAGACUCCUACGGGAGGCAGCAGUGGGGAAUAUUGCACAAUGGGCGGAAGCCUGAUGCAGCAACGCCGCGUGCGGGAUGACGGCCUUCGGGUUGUAAACCGCUUUCGCCUGUGACGAAGCGUGAGUGACGGUAAUGGGUAAAGAAGCACCGGCUAACUACGUGCCAGCAGCCGCGGUGAUACGUAGGGUGCGAGCGUUGUCCGGAUUUAUUGGACGUAAAGGGCUCGUAGGUGGUUGAUCGCGUCGGAAGUGUAAUCUUGGGGCUUAACCCUGAGCGUGCUUUCGAUACGGGUUGACUUGAGGAAGGUAGGGGAGAAUGGAAUUCCUGGUGGAGCGGUGGAAUGCGCAGAUAUCAGGAGGAACACCAGUGGCGAAGGCGGUUCUCUGGGCCUUUCCUGACGCUGAGGAGCGAAAGCGUGGGGAGCGAACAGGCUUAGAUACCCUGGUAGUCCACGCUGUAAACGGUGGGUACUAGGUGUGGGGUCCAUUCCACGGGUUCCGUGCCGUAGCUAACGCUUUAAGUACCCGCCUGGGGAGUACGGCCGCAAGGCUAAAACUCAAAGGAAUUGACGGGGCCCCGCACAAGCGGCGGAGCAUGCGGAUUAAUUCGAUGCAACGCGUAGAACCUUACCUGGGUUUGACAUGGAUCGGGAGUGCUCAGAGAUGGGUGUGCCUCUUUUGGGGUCGGUUCACAGGUGGUGCAUGGCUGUCGUCAGCUCGUGUCGUGAGAUGUUGGGUUAAGUCCCGCAACGAGCGCAACCCUUGUUCACUGUUGCCAGCACGUUAUGGUGGGGACUCAGUGGAGACCGCCGGGGUCAACUCGGAGGAAGGUGGGGAUGACGUCAAGUCAUCAUGCCCCUUAUGUCCAGGGCUUCACGCAUGCUACAAUGGCUGGUACAGAGAGUGGCGAGCCUGUGAGGGUGAGCGAAUCUCGGAAAGCCGGUCUCAGUUCGGAUUGGGGUCUGCAACUCGACCUCAUGAAGUCGGAGUCGCUAGUAAUCGCAGAUCAGCAACGCUGCGGUGAAUACGUUCCCGGGGCUUGUACACACCGCCCGUCAAGUCAUGAAAGUAGGUAACACCCGAAGCCGGUGGCCUAACCGUUGUGGGGGAGCCGUCGAAGGUGGGACUGGUGAUUAGGACUAAGUCGUAACAAGGUAGCCGUACCGGAAGG